rnacentral:rRNA from 1 species
GAUACGACCGUACCGCAAACCGACACUGGUGCGCGAGAUGAGUAUUCUAAGGCGCUUGAGAGAACUCAGGAGAAGGAACUCGGCAAAUUGACACCGUAACUUCGGAAGAAGGUGUGCCCUAUUAGUGUGUAGUGAACAACGAAGCAUGAAUGGGUUGCAAAAAAUCGGUGGCUGCGACUGUUUAUUAAAAACACAGCACUCUGCAAACACGAAAGUGGACGUAUAGGGUGUGACGCCUGCCCGGUGCUGGAAGAUUAAAUGAUGGGGUGCAAGCUCUUGAUUGAAGUCCCAGUAAACGGCGGCCGUAACAAUAACGGUCCUAAGGUAGCGAAAUUCCUUGUCGGGUAAGUUCCGACCUGCACGAAUGGCGUAACGAUGGCCACACUGUCUCCUCCUGAGACUCAGCGAAGUUGAAAUGUUUGUGAUGAUGCAAUCUCCCCGCGGAAAGACGGAAAGACCCCAUGAACCUUUACUGUAGCUUUGUAUUGGACUUUGAACAGAUCUGUGUAGGAUAGGUGGGAGGCUUUGAAGCAGGGUCGCUAGAUCUUGUGGAGCCAACGUUGAAAUACCACCCUGGUGUGUUUGAGGUUCUAACCUAGGUCCAUUAUCUGGAUCGGGGACAGUGCAUGGUAGGCAGUUUGACUGGGGCGGUCUCCUCCCAAAGCGUAACGGAGGAGUUCGAAGGUACGCUAGUUACGGUCGGACAUCGUGACGAUAGUGCAAUGGCAUAAGCGUGCUUAACUGCGAGACUGACAAGUCGAGCAGAUGCGAAAGCAGGACAUAGUGAUCCGGUGGUUCUGUAUGGAAGGGCCAUCGCUCAACGGAUAAAAGGUACUCUGGGGAUAACAGGCUGAUACCGCCCAAGAGUUCAUAUCGACGGCGGUGUUUGGCACCUCGAUGUCGGCUCAUCUCAUCCUGGGGCUGUAGCCGGUCCCAAGGGUAUGGCUGUUCGCCAUUUAAAGAGGUACGUGAGCUGGGUUUAAAACGUCGUGAGACAGUUUGGUCCCUAUCUUCCGUGGGCGCUGCAGAUUUGAGGAAGCCUGCUCCUAGUACGAGAGGACCGGAGUGGACACACCUCUGGUGUAUCGGUUGUCACGCCAGUGGCAUUGCCGAGUAGCUAAGUGUGGAAGAGAUAACCGCUGAAAGCAUCUAAGCGGGAAACUCGUUUCAAGAUGAGAUCUGCCGGGGCCUUGAGCCCCCUAAAGAGUCGUUCAAGACCAGGACGUUGAUAGGUCAGGUGUGGAAGCGAAAAG